AAAUAUGGAUAGAGUAUGCACAUGGAAGAGGAAACAAUACAACAGUCAGAGAAGAACCAAGAUGGAGGUUGCAUAUGAGCUAAUGACAAGAGUACAAUGAAGUGUAGACGACAGAAAGGCUCUUUCAGAGGACUGGGAAAGAGGAUGCUUAUUAGUAAUUUACGGGGAAAAUACAGCUGAAAUGCGAAAACUCACCAAGUACUCAAAUCCUUGCCUGAUGUUCCUGCGACCUCCCUGAGAGCUUCUCUCCAUUUUUGAAUCUUUGCCGCCAUUGCUCUAUUCUUGCUGGAAAAUAGUAGCAUAAUUCUUGAACAUUCGUACCUUUCUAAGGCAAAAGUUCCUCUCUGGUGACGUACGUCGGAGGGAUCAACGUUGUAAAAAAUUGGAACGGCAGUGAGUUGCUUUUCCUUGUGAAGCUUCAUUAUCAACUGGAGCUCGUCUAGACACCAAGUCGAGGAAGCAUAGUUCGUUGAGAUAACUAGGACCGCGAAUUUUGAAUUGUGUAUAGCUUCCUUGAUUUCUUUGGAAAUGGAGUCGCCAAUCUCGAGUGUUUUAUCAUCUUUGAAGAUUUUGUCAAUUCCCUUGGCAAGAAAUGCUCUGUGCAAAUGGCUGACGAUACCUUUGCGGGUAUCUUCUCCUCGGAAGCUGAGGAACACAUCAUACUGCCUCAGAACGCGAGGUAACUCCAUCGUUGUGAUGUUUAUCUGAAUUUCUUGGCUUGGACCUCUUAAUAAGGAGCUAGGCCGUUGGUUUUUGAUUUUUUUGAUCGGAAGAAGUUCAUGAAGUUACAUUCAAGUCAACGUUAUUAAUUACGCACUGCCACGUUGUAUACAUGGGCGCGACACGCUGGAAACUGUAAUUUGAAUUCUUCAAGUUUGUGACAGAUUGGCCUUAUGAUCUGUGGCACCAUCCAUAAUGUAGCUCUCUAAAUUUAUUAAUACGACUGACCAUUCAUUUC